rnacentral:rRNA from 1 species
GAUGAACGCUGGCGGCGUGCCUAAUACAUGCAAGUCGAGCGAACAGACGAGGAGCUUGCUCCUCUGACGUUAGCGGCGGACGGGUGAGUAACACGUGGAUAACCUACCUAUAAGACUGGGAUAACUUCGGGAAACCGGAGCUACUACCGGAUAAUAUAUUGAACCGCAUGGUUCAAUCGUUAAAGACGGUUUUGCUGUCACUUAUAGAUGGAUCCGCGCCGCAUUAGCUAGUUGGUAAGGUAACGGCUUACCAAGGCAACGAUGCGUAGCCGACCUGAGAGGGUGAUCGGCCACACGGGAACUGAGACACGGUACAGACUCCUACGGGAGGCAGCAGUAGGGAAUCUUCCGCAAGGGGCGAAAGCGUGACGGAGCAACGCCGCGGGAGUGAUGAAGGUCUAAGGAUCGUAAAGCGCUGUUAUUAGGGAAGAACAAAUGUGUAAGUAACUAUGCACGUCUUGACGGUACCGAAUCAGAAAGCCACGGCUAACUACGUG